rnacentral:rRNA from 1 species
CCUACGGGGAGCAGCAGUGGGGAAUAUUGCACAAUGGGGGAAACCCUGAUGCAGCGACGCCGCGUGAGUGAAGAAGUAAUUCGUUAUGUAAAGCUCUAUCAGCAGGGAAGAAAAUGACGGUACCUGAGUAAGAAGCACCGGCUAACUACGUGCCAGCAGCCGCGGUAAUACGUAGGGGGCAAGCGUGAUCCGGAUUUACUGGGUGGAAAGGGAGCGUAGACGGCAGUGCAAGUCUGGAGUGAAAGGCGGGGGCUCAACCCCCGGACUGCUCUGGAAACUGUACGGCUGGAGUGCAGGAGAGGUAAGUGGAAUUCCUAGUGUAGCGGUGAAAUGCGUAGAUAUUAGGAGGAACACCAGUGGCGAAGGCGGCUUACUGGACUGUAACUGACGUUGAGGCUCGAAAGCGUGGGGAGCAAACAGGAUUAGAUACCCCUGUAGUC